UGGAAGCCAACAUUAAUUGGAGUCUUCGCUGGUGCCCUUUAUUAUCCGCGCUACGGUUGGUUCGACAAAAUGAUGAUUAAGUUCAUUAUGUCGAUGACUGGUGGUGAAACGGACACGACUAAAGAAGUGGAGUACACCAACUGGGAAAAAGUGGCUCUUUUCGCGGAUAAAUUCAAAGAACUGUAGAAAUAACGUGCUCUUUUAAGUGGUUUUGCUGCAAUUUCAUCCG
rnacentral:rRNA from 1 species